rnacentral:rRNA from 1 species
UACGUAGGGUCCGAGCGUUGUCCGGAAUUACUGGGCGUAAAGAGCUCGUAGGCGGUUUGUCGCGUCGUUCGUGAAAACUCACAGCUUAACUGUGGGCGUGCGGGCGAUACGGGCAGACUGGAGUACUGCAGGGGAGACUGGAAUUCCUGGUGUAGCGGUGGAAUGCGCAGAUAUCAGGAGGAACACCGGUGGCGAAGGCGGGUCUCUGGGCAAUAACUGACGCUGAGGAGCGAAAGCGUGGGGAGCGAACAGG